UUGUAGGCUAGGCUGGCGGGCUAACCCUCCGCUGUUACUGCAAACGGGAUACAAUAGCAGGGUCGAAGUCCUUUAGGCGGUAGUUUCGUACAUUGGAAGUCUUGGCUUCAUUCCGUCGAUCUCCUGUCCCAAUUGGUCGGCAUCUUUGGGAACCGGGUCAGGCUGGGAACAGAGCAGCCCUAACUGAUCAUACUGGCGCUUUUGGGGUCGCGGGAAGGAGGAACAGCCAGGGUUAAGCUUUCGAAGUGCGGUUCUAUCCACUUUGGGACGUGCCUACUU
rnacentral:SRP_RNA from 1 species